rnacentral:rRNA from 1 species
UACGGGGGGAGCAAGCGUUGUUCGGAUUUACUGGGCGUAAAGGGCGCGUAGGCGGCGCAACAAGUCACUUGUGAAAUCUCCGGGCUUAACCCGGAGCGGCCAAGUGAUACUGUCGUGCUAGAGUGCGGAAGGGGCUACUGGAAUUCUCGGUGUAGCGGUGAAAUGCGUAGAUAUCGAGAGGAACACCUGAGGCGAAGGCGGGUUGCUGGGCUGACACUGACGCUGAGGCGCGAAAGCCAGGGGAGCGAACGGG